rnacentral:tRNA from 1 species
GUUGUGGCUCAGAGGUAGACCGCUCCCCUAGCAUGGGCAAGGCCCUGGGUUUGAUCCUCAGCACGACA